rnacentral:rRNA from 1 species
GGAUCCAGACUUUGUUCUGGCUCAGGAUGAACGCUAGCUACAGGCUUAACACAUGCAAGUCGAGGGGAAACGACAUCGAAAGCUUGCUUUUGAUGGGCGUCGACCGGCGCACGGGUGAGUAACGCGUAUCCAACCUGCCCACCACUUGGGGAUAACCUUGCGAAAGUAAGACUAAUACCCAAUGACGUCUCUAGAAGACAUCUGAAAGAGAUUAAAGAUUUAUCGGUGAUGGAUGGGGAUGCGUCUGAUUAGCUUGUUGGCGGGGUAACGGCCCACCAAGGCUACGAUCAGUAGGGGUUCUGAGAGGAAGGUCCCCCACAUUGGAACUGAGACACGGUCCAAACUCCUACGGGAGGCAGCAGUGAGGAAUAUUGGUCAAUGGACGAGAGUCUGAACCAGCCAAGUAGCGUGCAGGAUGACGGCCCUAUGGGUCGUAAACUGCUUUUAUAAGGGAAUAAAGUGAGUCUCGUGAGACUUUUGCAUGUACCUUAUGAAUAAGGACCGGCUAAUUCCGUGCCAGCAGCCGCGGUAAUACGGUAGGUCCGGGCGUUAUCCGGAUUUAUUGGGUUUAAAGGGAGCGUAGGCCGGAGAUUAAGCGUGUUGUGAAAUGUAGAUGCUCA